GAUUUCCUGGGGUCUAUGCCGGGCUGGAAGGCUGGCCAUCUUAAGGCUGCAUUUGUUCCCGAACCUAAGGACCAUGGGAGCCACGCAGCCAGAGGGGGUGUGAUCAGAUGUGUGUUCUGGUUGGAUGGCUCUUGUGGCUGUGUGCAGAAUGAAAGGAGGAGUUGGACUUGGCCAUUAAGUCCACGAUGGCAGAGGAAGCAGGUGCCAUGGGAGAAGGACCUUGGAUACAUGCCCAGGAAGGUGAGUAGGGGUCUGCCAGAGACCAGGGCCUGAAACGGCUCUGCUCUCUGUUCUUUUUUUUUUUUUUUUUUGAGACUUGAGUCUUGCUCUGUCGCCCAGGCUGGAGUGCAGUGGCGCCAUCUCGGCUCACUGCAAACCCCGCCUCCCGGGUUCACGCCAUUGUCCUGCUUCAGCCUCCUGAGUAGCUGGGACUACAGGCGCCCACCACCACGCCUGGCUAAUUUUUUGUAUUUUUAGUAGAGACGGGGGUUUCACCGUGUUAGCCAGGAUGGUCUCGAUCUCCUGACCUCGUGAUCUGCCCGCCUUGGUCUCCCAAAGUGCUGGGAUUACAGGCAUGAGCCACUGCGCCCGGCCUGCUCUCUGUUCUUAAGCUUGUAAAUAACAAAACCAGGAGAUGUGGGCUGAACGGUUUAGUGUAGUGAUCAACAGCAGCAUAAUCGCGGUGCCCAAGUACUGCUAAGUGCUAAGCAUGGAGGUAAGGUCAGUGAUUAGAAUGCGUUUUAUAGUCCAAGCUGGCGUGGAGGAGCCUUGCAUCAUCUUUGUCCCCCGACCCACAUAGCUUCAUUUGGCUGGUACAGCUGCUGGUGCUCCAUGCUGGCAGGAAUAGAAUUAUUAUGGGGCCUCAGCAGGGUGGGCGCUGAAGAAGAAAUUGGGGGCUUUGGGCAGAUUGAGUCACAGUAAAGCUAUUGAUCUUUGAGCACAGACUGUGCUACAUUUUCAUGAUUUCAGUGAAUCCUCACAACCACGGGCAGCGCACAGAUGAGCAAACAGGAUCAGGACAAUGAAGUGUUUAUAGCCAAGGGAUUGAGGCCUCUCCUUGCACUGGCUUCGCUGGUGUUUCCUGGGGUGAGAGGCCGGCUGGAAAAGGAGGCAGCAGGCCUUGAAGUGGCAGAGAAGGCUCCAUCAUCAGAUGCUAAAACUGCCAGUUUCAACUUUUCCUGGAGAUGGAGUUGUUUUCAAUAAUGGAGUGAACUGGAUUUCCUGAACAAGCCUCCCAGUGAAGAGGAAGCACAGCACCCACUGGAGCUUGUCAGGGGAGUAAUUCCAACCUCUUAGCCAAGACCAGAGCUAAAAGGGCACCUUCAUCACACCGCCGACGUUGACCCCAGGCUGACAAAUGUGACCUGCUUCCGUUGGUCUUUGAAUCCUCAUUUCUAUUUGCUUUUCAACUUUAUUGUAUAUAUCUUUUAUGUAACUUACUUCAAGUUAUUUUGUAGGGAAAUGUGUAAAAAACCCCUGCUUUUUGGGAUCAUGAAAAUAUUUCAAAGUUAGAUUAUGGUGAUGGUUGCCCAACUUUGUAAAUAUACUAAAGAUCGUUCAAUGGUACGCUUUAAACGGAUGAACUUAAUGGUAUAUAAAUUAUCUCAAUAAAACGAUUUGAAAAAA
rnacentral:lncRNA from 1 species